rnacentral:rRNA from 1 species
UACGUAGGGUGCGAGCGUUAAUCGGAAUUACUGGGCGUAAAGCGUGCGCAGGCGGUUAUACAAGACAGGCGUGAAAUCCCCGGGCUUAACCUGGGAAUGGCGCCUGUGACUGUAUAGCUAGAGUGUGUCAGAGGGGGGUAGAAUUCCACGUGUAGCAGUGAAAUGCGUAGAUAUGUGGAGGAAUACCAAUGGCGAAGGCAGCCCCCUGGGAUAACACUGACGCUCAUGCACGAAAGCGUGGGGAG